rnacentral:rRNA from 1 species
AGUUGCACCGACGGCGUAAAGUCGUCGAGCACUCUAGACAGACUGCCUGUACAAGCAGGAGGAAGGUGGGGGAGUGACGUCAAGUCAGUAUGGCCCUUACGCCCUGGGCUGCACACGUGCUACAAUGGUCGGUACAGAAGGAUGCAAGACCGCGAGGUGGAGCAAAUCCCCAAAACCGGCCCCAGUUCGGAUUGGAGUCUGCAACUCGACUCCAUGAAGUUGGAUUCGCUAGUAAUGGCGCAUCAGCUACGGCGCCAUGAAUACGUUCCCGGGCCUU